rnacentral:rRNA from 1 species
UACAGAGGGGGCAAGCGUUGUCCGGAUUUACUGGGCGUAAAGAGCGCGCAGGCGGUCGUUCAAGUCGCGUGUGAAAGCCCCCGGCUCAACUGGGGAGGGUCACGCGAUACUGAUCGACUCGAAGGCAGGAGAGGGUAGUGGAAUUCCCGGUGUAGUGGUGAAAUGCGUAGAUAUCGGGAGGAACACCAGUGGCGAAGGCGACUACCUGGCCUGUUCUUGACGCUGAGGCGCGAAAGCUAGGGGAGCAAACGGG